UGGGAUUACAGGCAUGAGCCACUGCGCCCAGCUGAUUUCUUUAAAGACAUGGAAUGCUUCAUGUAUUGGCGUGUCAUCCUCCCACAGGGGCCAUGCUAAUCUCUGUAUCAUUUCAAUUGUAGUAUAUGCACUGCUGAGGCAAGCACAGAAUCUGCAUGUUUAAUAAGCUCUCCCUCCAUUCGUAUGCCUAUUAAAGCUUGUAAAGUAGGAAACCCUGUGCUGCAAAACAAAAUCUGAACUCCUAACAAAGUUCUCCAACAGCUUUUCAAUCUUAUUUUAUCUUACUCCAACACUUGAACUCUCUGCUUCCAAUGCAAUUCAGAAAGGAAAGUAUCCUUGCAUUGACAAGUAGAAGAAUUGAGUUUUUUAUUUUAUUUUAUUUUUUUAUUUUGAGUCAAAGUCUAGCUCUGUCACCCAGGCUGGAGUGCAGUGGCAUGAUCUCGGCUCACUGCAACCUCUGCCCCUUGGGUUCAAGCGAUUCCCCUGCCUCAGCCUCCAGAGUAGCUGGGAUGACAGGCAUGCACCACCAGCCCAGCUAAUGUUUUGUGUUUUUAGUAGAGACGGGUUUCAUCGUGUUGGUCAGGCUGGUCUGGAACUCCUGGCUUCAGGUGAUCCACCCACCUUUGUCUCCGAAAGUGCUGGGAUUACAGGUGUGAGCCACAGUGCCCGGCCAGAAGAAUGAGUUAACUACAGCUGAGCACACAAAAAAGAAAUUAUCUGAAAGAAUCGAACAAAAUAACUCACCUAUUCUCUGCCCAGAGACUCAUCGCCUUUCAUCUGUGGCCUCUAUGACAUUCUUUUUUUUUUUUUUUCCUGAGAUGGAGUCUCG
rnacentral:lncRNA from 1 species